GAUGAACGCUGGCGGCGUGCCUAAUACAUGCAAGUCGAGCGAACAGAUGAGGAGCUUGCUCCUUUGACGUUAGCGGCGGACGGGUGAGUAACACGUGGGUAACCUACCUAUAAGACUGGGAUAACUUCGGGAAACCGGGGCUAAUGCCGGAUAACAUUUAGAACCGCAUGGUUCUAAAGUGAAAGAUGGUUUUGCUAUCACUUAUAGAUGGACCCGCGCCGUAUUAGCUAGUUGGUAAGGUAACGGCUUACCAAGGCAACGAUACGUAGCCGACCUGAGAGGUGAAUCGCCCAAACGGGAACUGAGACACGGUCCAGAUCCCUACGGGAGGCAGCAGUAGGAAACCUGCCGCAAGGGCCGAAACCUGGAGGGAGCAACGCGGCGGGGUGGAUGAAGUCCUUCGAUUCGUAAACCCCUUUUUUAAGGAAAAAACAAAGUGGAAAUUAACUGGGACCUUCUGGACGUAACCUAAUCAGAAAGCCACGGUUAACAACUG
rnacentral:rRNA from 1 species